rnacentral:rRNA from 1 species
AGUUUGAUCCUGGCUCAGAACGAACGCUGGCGGCAGGCUUAACACAUGCAAGUCGAGCGCCCCGCAAGGGGAGCGGCAGACGGGUGAGUAACGCGUGGGAAUCUACCCUUGACUACGGAAUAACGCAGGGAAACUUGUGCUAAUACCGUAUGUGUCCUUCGGGAGAAAGAUUUAUCGGUCAAGGAUGAGCCCGCGUUGGAUUAGCUAGUUGGKGGGGUAAAGGCCUACCAAGGCGACGAUCCAUAGCUGGUYUGAGAGGAUGAUCAGCCACAUKGGGACUGAGACACGGCCCAAACUCSUACGGGRGGCAGCAGUGGGGAAUAUUGGACAAUGGGSGCAAGCCUGAUCCAGSCAUGCSGCGUGAGUGAKGAAGGCCCUAGGGUUGUAAAGCUCUUUC